AGAAGAAGAAAAAGAAGCACAAGAAAAAGGAUUCCAGCUCUUCGUCAUCUUCUUCAUCAUCAUCUGACAGUGACAAAGACAAAAAGAAGAAGAAAAAGGACAAGAAAAAGGACGAUGAAGAGGAGGAGCUCGGUGGUGUUAGUGCUGUUGCAGCAGCAGGUGGUGAGGCUGCACUCAAGGGAGCAGAAGAAGGCAAACUCUCCUCGACACUUUCAGCAGGGGCAGCUGAGGCUUUCCCCAAAGGUCCUGAGGAUGGCAACCUAACUGAUGAUGAGGGGGAGGGAGGGGAGGCAAGUGGGAAGAAGAAGCAGCUCAAGAAGAAGAAGAAGAAGAAGAAGAAGGACUCCAGCUCCUCUUCAUCUGACAGCUCAGACAGUGAAGAUGACAAAAAGAAAAAGAAGAAG